rnacentral:rRNA from 1 species
UGCGUAGACGGUUUUGCAAGUUGGUAGCGUAAUCCCGGGGCUUAACUCCGGAACUACUACCAAAACUGCAAGGCUUGAGUGCGGUAGGGGUAUGUGGAAUUCCUAGUGUAGCGGUGGAAUGCGUAGAUAUUAGGAGGAACACCAGAGGCGAAGGCGACAUACUGGGCCGUAACUGACGUUGAGGCACGAAAGCGUGGGGAGCAAACA